CCUGCCCUGGGACAAGGGCCUCGGCCCUGCGAAGCUUCGAGUCCUCCCGAAAGACACAUCGCUGCUGGGGUGCCCAACCUUUCUGAGAUUCGUAGUUUAUACCCAGGUGAGUACACUAAGACGAACAUGAAUGUCAGAAUUGACAAAUGGAGGCCAACAGGACUCCAGAUCGAGCACUUGUACUUUACUGCCCCAAUAAAAAAGUGUUACAUUUUA